AGCGCAGGCGGGAAGACAAGUUGGAAGUGAAAACCAUGGGCUCAACCCAUGAAUUGCUUUCAAAACUGUUUUUCUUGAGUAGUGCAGAGGUAGAUGGAAUUCCCGGUGUAGCGGUGGAAUGCGUAGAUAUCGGGAAGAACACCAGUGGCGAAGGCGGUCUACUGGGUACCAACUGACGCUGAGGCUCGAAAGCAUGGGUAGCAAACA
rnacentral:rRNA from 1 species